rnacentral:lncRNA from 1 species
UAGAUCUCUGAACUAUUAGUACUGCACUCUCCACCUCCUACCUCUGAGAUGCCAUGCAAACCAUAGAGAGGUAGCAGGUGGCCCCAGUUUGUGCCUCUAGCCACAAGCCAGGAGGCUGUGAUAGCCUGCUGCUGACUCCUCCUGGGCUCUGAACACCUUGAGUGAAACACCUGAUUUAGGCAGGAGCAGGAUACCUGGAUUGAGGAGAUCCUCUUAUUGCAUAUUGUACUUGAAUGGACUCUCAUUGCCAAAGU